UCCGGAUUAGAUACCCUGGUAGUCCACGCCCUAAACGAUGAUUACUAGAUGUGUGCAAUAUACCGUACGCGUCACAGCUAAAGCGUUAAGUAAUCCACCUGGGGAGUACGGUCGCAAGACUGAAACUCAAAGGAAUUGACGGGGGCCCGCACAAGCAGCGGAGCGUGUGGUUUAAUUCGAUGCAACGCGAACAACCUUACCUACCCUUGACAUGUCCGGAAGGCUGCUGAAAGGCGGUUGUGCCCGAAAGGGAACCGGAACACAGGUGCUGCAUGGCUGUCGUCAGCUCGUGUCGUGAGAUGUUGGGUUAAGUCCCGCAACGAGCGCAACCCUUGUCCUUAGUUGCUACGCAAGGGCACUCUAAGGAGACUGCCGGUGACAAACCGGAGGAAGGUGGGGA
rnacentral:misc_RNA from 1 species